AACGAACGCUGGCGGCAGGCUUAACACAUGCAAGUCGAGCGCCCCGCAAGGGGAGCGGCAGACGGGUGAGUAACACGUGGGGAUCUGCCCAAUGGCACGGAAUAACUCGGGGAAACUUGUGCUAAUACCGUAUGUGCCCGCAAGGGGAAAGAUUUAUCGCCAUUGGAUGAACCCGCGUCGGAUUAGCUAGUUGGUGUGGUAAAGGCGCACCAAGGCGACGAUCCGUAGCUGGUCUGAGAGGAUGAUCAGCCACACUGGGACUGAGACACGGCCCAGACUCCUACGGGAGGCAGCAGUGGGGAAUAUUGGACAAUGGGCGCAAGCCUGAUCCAGCCAUGCCGCGUGAGUGAUGAAGGCCUUAGGGUUGUACAGCUCUUUCGCCGACGAUGAUAAUGACGGUAGUCGGAGAAGAAGCCCCGGCUAACUUCGUGCCAGCCGCCGCAGUAACAC
rnacentral:rRNA from 1 species